UCGGGCGUGGUGCAUGGAGCACUCUCCUCCACCUUUGUGGGUCACUUCAUGUACUUGGAUCUAGGAGAAAUCGGGUUCGAUUCCCGACGCCCGAA